GCCCGUACCGUAAACCGACACAGGUGGGUGAGGAGAGUAUCCUAAGGCCAGCGAGAGAACUAUUGUUAAGGAACUCGGCAAAAUGACCCCGUAACUUAGGGAGAAGGGGUGCCUGUCUAUGACAGGCCGCAGAGAAUAGGCCCAAGCGACUGUUUACCAAAAACACAGGUUUCUGCUAAGUCGCAAGACGAUGUAUAGGAGCUGACGCCUGCCCGGUGCUGGAAGGUUAAGGGGAUCUGUUAGAGCAAUCGAAGCAGUGAACUUAAGCCCCAGUAAACGGCGGCCGUAACAAUAACGGUCCUAAGGUAGCGAAAUUCCUUGUCGGGUAAGUUCCGACCCGCACGAAAGGCGUAACGAUUUGGGCACUGUCUCAACAAUAGACUCGGUGAAAUUGUAAUCCCGGUGAAGAUGCCGGGUACCUGCGACAGGACGGAAAGACCCCAUGGAGCUUUACUGUAGCUUGACGUUGGGUCUUGGUACUACAUGUACAGGAUAGGUGGGAGACCAUGAAGCAUGGACGCCAGUCUGUGUGGAGUCAUCCUUGGGAUACCACCCUUGUAGUACUGGGAUCCUAACCAUAGGCCUUGAAUCAGGUCUUGGAACACCGUCAGGUGGGCAGUUUGACUGGGGCGGUCGCCUCCUAAAAAGUAACGGAGGCGCUCAAAGGUUUCCUCAGCACGGUCGGAAAUCGUGCGAAGAGUGUAAAGGCAAAGGGAAGCUUGAUUGCAAGACAUACAGGUCGAGCAAGGACGAAAGUCGGACUUAGUGAUCCGGUGGUACCGCAUGGAAGGGCCAUCGCUCAACGGAUAAAAGCUACCCUGGGGAUAACAGGCUUAUCUCCCCCAAGAGUCCACAUCGACGGGGAGGUUUGGCACCUCGAUGUCGGCUCAUCACAUCCUGGGGCUGUAGUAGGUCCCAAGGGUUGGGCUGUUCGCCCAUUAAAGUGGUACGCGAGCUGGGUUCAGAACGUCGUGAGACAGUUCGGUCCCUAUCCGUCGCAGGCGUAGGAAAUUUGAGAGGACCUGUCCUUAGUACGAGAGGACCGGGAUGGACGUACCUCUGGUGUACCAGUUGUUCUGCCAAGGGCAUGGCUGGGUAGCUAUGUACGGAAUGGAUAAGCGCUGAAAGCAUCUAAGCGCGAAGCCAACUUCAAGAUAAGAUUUCCCACCGUAAGGGUAAGACCCCAGGAAGACUACCUGGUUGAUAGGUCGAAGGUGUAAGUGCAGUAAUGUAUUUAGCUUAUCGAUACUAAUAGGUCGAGGACUUGAUC
rnacentral:rRNA from 1 species